rnacentral:rRNA from 1 species
AGCCAGACUCCUAAGGGCGGCAGCAGUGAGGCCUCUUGGUCAAUGGCCGCCGGGCUGACCCAGCCAAGUCGCGUGAGGGAUGACGGUCCUAUGGAUUGUAACCCUCUUUUGUCAGGGAGCAAAGGGCGCCCCGUGUGGCGUUUUGCGAGUACCUGAAGAAAAAGCAUCGGCUACCUCCGUGCCAGCAGCCGCGGUAAUCCGGAGGAUGCGAGCGUUAUCCGGAUUUAUGGGGGUUAAAGGGUGCGCAGGCGGAAGGGCAAGUCAGCGGGAAAGUGUCGGGGCGCAACCCCGGCGGGCCGGGGAAACGGGCGGGCUGGAGGGAGCGAGAAGGAGGCGGAAGGCGUGGGGGAGCGGUGAAAGGCAGAGAUAUCACGCAGAACUCCGAGGGCGAAGGCAGCAUACCGGCGCGCAACUGACGCUCAGG